ACGCUCGACACCUACGGGAGGCAGCAGUGGGGAAUAUUGCACAAUGGGGGAAACCCUGAUGCAGCGACGCCGCGUGGAGGAAGAAGGUCUUCGGAUUGUAAACUCCUGUUGUUGGGGAAAAGAGGAUGGUACCCAACAAGGAAGUGACGGCUAACUACGUGCCAGUAGCCGCGGUAAUCUGAGCGGGCUGGCAAGGC
rnacentral:rRNA from 1 species